rnacentral:rRNA from 1 species
AUUGAACGCUGGCGGCAUGCCUAACACAUGCAAGUCGAACGAGUGGCGGACGGGUGAGUAAUGUCUGGGAAACUGCCCGUUGGCGGGGGAUAACUACUGGAAACGGUGGCUAUUACCGCAUACCUUCGGAUGUGCCCAGAUGGGAUUAGCUAGUAGGUGGGGUAACGGCUCACCAAGGCCACGAUCCCUAGCUGGUCUGAGAGGAUGACCGGCCAACCGGGAACUGAGCAACGGCCCAGACUCCUCCGGGAGGCAGCGUGGGGAAAUAUUGCACAAUGGGCGAAAGCCGGAUGCAGCAAUGCCGCUUGUAGGAAGAAGUCCUUCGGGUUGUAAAGUACGUUCAGCGAGGAGGCGUUACGCGCAGAAGAAGCACCGGCUAACUCCGUGCCAGCAGCCGCGGUAAUAC